rnacentral:rRNA from 1 species
UGGGGAAUAUUGCACAAUGGGCGAAAGCCUGAUGCAGCAACGCCGCGUGAGUGAUGAAGGCCUUCGGGUUGUAAAGCUCUGUCUUUUGGGACGAUAAUGACGGUACCAAAGGAGGAAGCCACGGCUAACUACGUGCCAGCAGCCGCGGUAAUACGUAGGUGGCAAGCGUUGUCCGGAUUUACUGGGCGUAAAGGAUGCGUAGGCGGAUUUUUAAGUGAGAUGUGAAAACCCUAAGCUUAACUUGGGGACUGCAUUUCAUACUGGAAAUCUAGAGUGCGGGAGAGGAGAAUGGAAUUCCUAGUGUAGCGGUGAAAUGCGUAGAGAUUAGGAAGAACACCAGUGGCGAAGGCGAUUCUCUGGACCGUAACUGACGCUGAGGCAUGAAAGCGUGGGUAGCAAACAGGAUUAGAUACCCUGGUAGUCCACGCCGUAAACGAUGAGUACUAGGUGUAGGAGGUAUCGACCCCUUCUGUGCCGCAGUUAACACAAUAAGUACUCCGCCUGGGAAGUACGAUCGCAAGAUUAAAAACUCAAAGGAAUUGACGGGGGUCAUAGCUGUUUUCCU